UUGAACGCUGGCGGCACGCCUAACACAUGCAAGUCGAACGGCAGCACGGAGAGUAGCAAUACUUUUGGGUGGCGAGUGGCGGACGGGUGAGUAACGCGUAGGAAUCUACCCUAGAGAUGAGGAUAACUUGGGGAAACUCAAGCUAAUACUGAAUACGCCCGUUCGGGGGAAAGAUUUAUCGGCAAAGGAUCGGCCCGCGUUGGAUUAGGUAGUUGGUGGGGUAAUGGCCUACCAAGCCGACGAUCCAUAGCUUGGUUUGAGAGGAUGAUCAGCCACACUGGGACUGAGACACCGGCCCAGACUCCUACGGGGAGGCAGCAGGUGGGGAAUCUUAGACAAUGGGGGCAACCCUGAUCUAGCCAUGCCGCGUGAGUGAUGAAGGCCCUAGGGUUGUAAAGCUCUUUCAGCUGGGAAGAUAAUGACGGUACCAGCAGAAGAAGCCCCGGCUAACUCCGUG
rnacentral:rRNA from 1 species